CAGUUCGGACUGUGGUCUGCAACUCGACCACACGAAGCUGGAAUCGCUAGUAAUCGCGAAUCAGCAUGCCGCGGUGAAUAACGUUCCCGGGUCUUGUACACACUGCCCGUCACACCAUGGGAGUCGGAAAUGCCCGAAGUCUGUGACCCAACCGAAAGGAGGGAGCAGCCGAAGGCAGGUCGGAUGACUGGGGUGAAGUCGUAACAAGGUAUC
rnacentral:rRNA from 1 species